UUGCCCGUUGUAUGGUGGUGGUAGUGGAAACGCCCACACGGUGACUUAAAGAACCGAGGACACCUAAACAAUGGGCAUUU
rnacentral:ncRNA from 1 species